UGGGGAAUAUUGCACAAUGGGCGCAAGCCUGAUGCAGCCAUGCCGCGUGUAUGAAGAAGGCCUUCGGGUUGUAAAGUACUUUCAGCGAGGAGGAAGGCGGUAAGGUUAAUAACCUUAUCGAUUGACGUUACUCGCAGAAGAAGCACCGGCUAACUCCGUGCCAGCAGCCGCGGUAAUACGGAGGGUGCAAGCGUUAAUCGGAAUUACUGGGCGUAAAGCGCACGCAGGCGGUCUGUCAAGUCGGAUGUGAAAUCCCCGGGCUCAACCUGGGAACUGCAUUCGAAACUGGCAGGCUAGAGUCUUGGAGAGGGGUGUAGAAUUCCAGGUGUAGCGGUGAAAUGCGUAGAGAUCUGGAGGAAUACCGGUGGCGAAGGCGGCCCCCUGGACAAAGACUGACGCUCAGGUGCGAAAGCGUGGGGAGCAAACA
rnacentral:rRNA from 1 species